rnacentral:lncRNA from 1 species
UCCACUCAAUAAAUCCUUGAUAAAACCCUCUUUUCGUUGAUUGGAAAGGCUAAAGAAAACCACCAUCAACUCCUCCUUACGAGCAAGCUUGAACAUGACCUUGUUACGUUCACCAUCAGUUAGACCGGACACAUUACUCAACGCAUCAUUGAGAUUCUUAUGUUGCUCAUUUAAUGAAACCUCCAAUCCAAGAAAGUUAGCAAAUUGAGUAGAUGAUUUCUCGAGUUAUACAACGAGAAUAGUAGCAUCCCUCUCCAUGGCAGAUUCAGAAUUAAUAGCGAAACUUGACUUUCUCUUCCUUUUCUUGAAACUAGAGGACUUGCUAAAUAUUUCUUCACUGCGGGUUGAAGUAAAGCCAUCAUCUCCAUCAUUUGUUUGGAUCUCUUCAUCUAACUCAAUCAUUUCCGCAGCCGAUAGAUCAUCUCUAUCCUUGCCAAAUAUAAUAGAUCCAAAUAAUUUGAAAAUGUCUUGUUCUAUAACUUUGCUCUCUUUUGGUGCAC